AUUGAACGCUGGCGGCAGGCUUAACACAUGCAAGUCGAGCGGAGACUUCGGUCUUAGCGGCGAACGGGUGAGGAAUGCCUGGGAAUCUGCCUGUUAGUGGGGGAUAACGUUCCGAAAGGAACGCUAAUACCGCAUACGUCCUACGGGAGAAAGCAGGGGACCUUCGGGCCUUGCGCUAACAGAUGAGCCCAGGUCGGAUUAGCUAGUUGGUGGGGUAAAGGCUCACCAAGGCGACGAUCCGUAGCUGGUCUGAGAGGAUGAUCAGCCACACUGGAACUGAGACACGGUCCAGACUCCUACGGGAGGCAGCAGUGGGGGAAUAUUGGACAAUGGGGGAAACCCUGAUCCAGCCAUGCCGCGUGUGUGAAGAAGGCCUCGGUCGUAAGACACUUUCGACAGGGACGAUGAUGACGGUACCUGUAGAAGAAGCCCCGGCUAACUUCGUUGCCAGCAGCCGCGGUAAU
rnacentral:rRNA from 1 species